UGUGGCACAUUUCUCUACUUAUAUGUAUGGCGAGCAUGCCACCACUUAUAUAGAAAUAUGUCUGACAAAAGAGUUACUUUGAUAGAGUAAAUCAUAAAGGUUAUACUCCUUUUAUUUCUAGAAUUGUAGGACUGGAACCCAACCAAAGAACUCAAAAUUCUUCGUGCUACCUAUUACACUAAACUCUAGUAAGGUAAGCUAAUUAAAGCUCUCGGGCCCAUACCCCGAAAAUGUUGGUUUUAACCCUUCCCAUACUAAUUAUUACUAUAGCAUACUAUUCAAU